AUUGAACGCUGGCGGCAUGCCUUACACAUGCAAGUCGAACGGCAGCACGGGUGCUUGCCCCUGGUGGCGAGUGGCGAACGGGUGAGUAAUACAUCGGAACAUGUCCUGUAGUGGGGGAUAGCCCGGCGAAAGCCGGAUUAAUACCGCAUACGAUCUACGGAUGAAAGCGGGGGACCUUCGGGCCUCGCGCUUUAGGGUUGGCCGAUGGCGGAUUAGCUAGUCGGUGGGGUAAGGGCCUACCAAGGCGACGAUCAGUAGCUGGUCUGAGAGGACGACCAGCCACACUGGGACUGAGACACGGCCCAGACUCCUACGGGAGGCAGCAGUGGGGAAUUUUGGACAAUGGGCGAAAGCCUGAUCCAGCAAUGCCGCGUGUGUGAAGAAGGCCUUCGGGUUGUAAAGCACUUUUGUCCGGAAAGAAAUCCUUGGCCCUAAUACGGUCGGGGGAUGACGGUACCGGAAGAAUAAGCACCGGCUAACUACGUG
rnacentral:rRNA from 1 species